AAUAUAUCCACAUUAAAUCAUGUCUUGUUUUAGUCUCGUUACCUUGGGAACCAGUUCUUGGAGGAAUCAUUGGGAUCAUUGUUCUCAUCUGCUUGAUCAUCUUUGUUUGGUGGUUAAAGUCAAAGCAUCAAAGUCAACAACAGACUCAGAGUCAAAGAGGUGAAGAUCUGGUUGUUGAAGAAGCUGCAGGUGAAACAGAAGUAGAAAACAUCCAUUAUGGAGAGAUCAACUUCUCCAAGCAGAGACGUGACCCGUCCUCUGACUCAGUGCAGGACAGUGGACAGCAGCAGGACACGGUGUACACACAGGUCAAGAUCAAGAAACCAGCAAAGAGAUUAACACAGACUGUUGACGACACAGAUUAAGUCAAGAAAAAAUGAGAACUGUGGUUUGUUUGUGUUUAGAUUAAAUGUGCUGCAGGUUUUAUUCAUGCAACUCAUUUAACAACAGACAGGAAAAUGUCAUCCUUCAUUUCAAUUUCAAUUAUCACCACGUCCAUAUCUAUCUGCUGACCUCACAUACAGGAAAUGUUGUGUGAUUUGUAACAUAAAUCUUUGUGUUUUAUUUUCUUUUGUCUGAUUGUUGUUCAUAUAUUUCCAGCUUCUCACUUUAACUCACUCCUGUUUCUGGUAACAUGUUACAUGCAUUACACUCCAAUCUUCAUGAGCAUAGUUUGUUGAUUUUUUAUUUUUUUUCUUUCAUAAUAGAGGUAACAGCCUUGAAUGUGCAAAGUGUUUGAACCUGCAGCAAAAAUAAAAAGGGAAGUUGAAAUAUUUCCAUGUUUAACUUCAUGUCCUCUGUAGUUCAUUUCUUCACAGACUGUAUUAACCAGCAUGUCUGCAUUCAUUAAAAUAGUGUUCAGAUUAAGUGGGAUCCAUGUCUGUGUGAAUGCAUCUACGUCUUGUGUGAGAGCUCUGACUAACCAACUAAUCUAAACCAUAAAUAAUAAAACAUGGAGCAGGAACAGAGCUUAGAUCAGACCUGAGUUGAGAUCAGUUCUGUAGUUUGGAUUAAAAGUGACAGAUGAUGUAGUUAAAGUUUAUUCAACAAGCUGUAACUGAUGGUGAGUAGUGGUAGUAGUGGAGGAGGAGUGGAGAAUGAGGAGCUGUGGAUGCUGUGACAUCAGCGAGGAGGAGGAGGCCUGGAUGGAUCUGACGGUGAAAUGAGAAGUGAGAGCAGCAGAAAAAGGAAGUGCUUUUAAGAUGACAGCAGACAAGAUGAUUUGUCCACAGACAGAGGUGGUGAUUGGUUACAGUGAGGAAGGAGCACCAUACUGUACAUGUAAAUAGUGUGAUGUACAUUUCAGGACGGUGAGGUCCCCCUGGUGGAGAGAGAAGGUGCAGCACAG